rnacentral:rRNA from 1 species
AAGUCGAGCGGCAGCGGAAAGUAGCUUGCUACUUUGCCGGCGAGCGGCGGACGGGUGAGUAAUGUCUGGGAAACUGCCUGAUGGAGGGGGAUAACUACUGGAAACGGUAGCUAAUACCGCAUAACGUCGCAAGACCAGAGAGGGGGACCUUCGGGCCUCUUGCCAUCAGAUGUGCCCAGAUGGGAUUAGCUAGUAGGUGGGGUAACGGCUCACCUAGGCGACGAUCCCUAGCUGGUCUGAGAGGAUGACCAGCCACACUGGAACUGAGACACGGUCCAGACUCCUACGGGAGGCAGCAGUGGGGAAUAUUGCACAACGGGCGCAAGCCUGAUGCAGCCAUGCCGCGUGUAUGAAGAAGGCCUUCGGGUUGUAAAGUACUUUCAGCGGGGAGGAAGGUGUUGAGGUUAAUAACCUCAGCAAUUGACGUUACCCGCAGAAGAAGCACCGGCUAACUCCGUGCCAGCAGCCGCGGUAAUACGGAGGGUGCAAGCGUUAAUCGGAAUUACUGGGCGUAAAGCGCACGCAGGCGGUCUGUCAAGUCGGAUGUG